rnacentral:rRNA from 1 species
AGUGAACGCUGGCGGUAGGCCUAACACAUGCAAGUCGAACGGCAGCACAGUAAGAGCUUGCUCUUACGGGUGGCGAGUGGCGGACGGGUGAGGAAUACAUCGGAAUCUACUUUUUCGUGGGGGAUAACGUAGGGAAACUUACGCUAAUACCGCAUACGACCUACGGGUGAAAGCAGGGGAUCUUCGGACCUUGCGCGAUUGAAUGAGCCGAUGUCGGAUUAGCUAGUUGGCGGGGUAAAGGCCCACCAAGGCGACGAUCCGUAGCUGGUCUGAGAGGAUGAUCAGCCACACUGGAACUGAGACACGGUCCAGACUCCUCAGGGAGGCAGCAGUGGGGAAUAUUGGACACUGGGCGCAAGCCUGAUCCAGCCAUACCGCGUGGGUGAAGAAGGCCUUCGGGUUGUAAAGCCCUUUUGUUGGGAAAGAAAAGCAGCAGGUUAAUACCCCGCUGUUCUGACGGUACCCAAAGAAUAAGCACCGGCUAACUUCGUG